AAACCUCUUUCAGUACGGGACGAAGCGCAAGUAACGGUAGGUACAGAAGAAGCACCGGCCAACUACGUGCCAGCAGCCGCGGUAAUACGUAGGGUGCGAGCGUUGUCCGGAAUUACUGGGCGUAAAGAGCUCGUAGGCGGUUUGUCGCGUCGUCUGUGAAAACCCGCAGCUCAACUGCGGGCUUGCAGGCGAUACGGGCAGACUUGAGUACUGCAGGGGAGACUGGAAUUCCUGGUGUAGCGGUGAAAUGCGCAGAUAUCAGGAGGAACACCGGUGGCGAAGGCGGGUCUCUGGGCAGUAACUGACGCUGAGGAGCGAAAGCGUGGGUAGCGAACAGGAUUAGAUACCCUGGGUAGUCAA
rnacentral:rRNA from 1 species